rnacentral:rRNA from 1 species
UACAGAGGUCUCAAGCGUUGUUCGGAUUCAUUGGGCGUAAGGGGUGCGUAGGCGGCGCGGUAAGUCGGGUGUGAAAUCUCGGAGCUUAACUCCGAAACUGCAUUCGAUACUGCCGUGCUUGAGGACUGGAGAGGAGACUGGAAUUUACGGUGUAGCGGUGAAAUGCGUAGAUAUCGUAAGGAAGACCAGUGGCGAAGGCGGGUCUCUGGACAGUUCCUGACGCUGAGGCACGAAGGUCAGGGGAGCGAACAGG